GUUGCUUUAUCAUGUUCCCUUUUAAAAUGAUAGUUCUUAUCAAUGGAAACUCCACAUUUCUUUAUUGAUGAAGUAGGGAGGUGGGUGGGAGGAAUCUAGUUGGAAAAAGGGACUUGAAGCUAAGUUUCCAUGGCACUUUAUGUAAGACUGAGAACAUGUCAAUUGUUCAUAAUCAGGAAUGUGGUAGAGGGAGGUGCAGGUGGAGAUGAUGGGGUGGGAGAGUGCUGAAGCCAGCCCCGCAUGCCUCUAAGUUGCCCCUGGUUCUCAUGCAGCAGUGUGCUUCCCUUCCCUGUGGGCCGCACCCCACAGGGCAUAGAAAAUAGAAUGUCUGUUGAAUAUAAAAUGGUACCACUGAAUUGUUUUAGUGAUGAGGUUAGGUUUUAUUGUCAUGUGCAUUGUCACCAUAGUGACCCAUGGCAUAUAUUUUUAGCAUACUUGGUUGGGGUUGAGAGAAAUCUAUGGACAUAAUUUUUUCUUGUGUCAAGCUCUAUAACUCAUGCAGCAGUUGGUCCCAUGGUCAUGGCCUAUUAGUGAAAACCUCCAGAGGUCAGAUGGCCAAGGUGUUCCCACAUCUUUUUUAUGUAACUUGUUGCCUAAUAGUCCUCUUUUCUGCCUAUGAUUAAAAAUAAUUUUUAUAUACAACAUUAGUUACAUUUCAAACAUCUCUAUGAAGUCAUGCCAUUUUAAGGAGAUGAAAGCUGUCACAGAGUUGAGUGACUUGUUCCAAAUCACGUAACUAAGCCAGGACUAGAACCCCAGACUUUCAGAGUUUCUCUGCCCUGGGUUAUAAUCUCUUGUUUAACAGUGAUAGAUCUGAUUCAGUCUGAGAUGCUUAUUUAUGAAACAGUAUACUAUGAAUAUUUAUUAUCUUUCUCAAGCAUGCUUUUCUACACAUUUUGCAUACUUUCAACAGGGAUUACCCAAGAAUGCAACAUCUACCUGUAAUAGAUGGGGAGAAAAUUAGUUGCCUGAGAGAAUAGAAUAUUAAGCACACAAAUACUUUCCAACACAGGGUUGUAAAUUGCACUCCUCAUUUUAAGGUGCUGUAUGUGCAUGUUUAAGGAAUUAUUAAUGUAUUCUGCUUGCUUUCUGUAUUAACCAGUUCCAGAGGAUAGCCUUAGAAUUGAGUGUAUUUUGAAUCUUAAAACUUAAAGUUUCUUAUAUGUGGCACAGUGUAUAAUGUCAUUUAAGAAAAAUCUAUAAUCUUUCAAAGAAGUUACAUAGUUUCAAAAAUCAGGUUUUGUAAUCAGUGUUGAAAAAACUCUGAAAUAUGACUUGCUUUGAGGAUGAUCCUUGAGCUUAUGUAUUUGAUCUGCUCAAAAGUAAUAACUAAAGCUGAGUUAAACAGUUUUUAUUUAUUUCAGGGUUCUGAUUUAUCCCAGCUGGCUAUACAAAUGGCCUGUCUGAAUCCUAAUCUUGUGUGUUUUCUACGAUGGGCAGAAGUCAAAACAUCUGCUUCUGUAAGGAUCAUUAAUAAAAAGUUAGUUUUAAUUAUGAGUUUAAGGGAAGUUUAGGUUAUUUUUGAGAUGCAGUAUUUUAAAGGAACAAAACUCUGGUGUUGCCUUUUGUUGUUAUUUUUGUUUGCUGGACACAGGCUCUUGGUUUCUCACUCGGGCUAGAGUACAGUGGUGUGUUCAUAGCUCACUCUAACCUUGAACUUGUAGGCCUAAGCCAUCCUCCUGCCACAACCUCCUGAGUUGUGAGGACUACAGAUGUGUGCCACCACGCCUGGCUAAUUUUUUAAGUUUUUGUAGAGAUGGAGUCUUGCUCAGUUGCCUAUGCUGGUCUUGAAUUCCUAACCUCAAGCAAUCUUCCUGCCUUGGCCUCCCCAAGUGUUGUAAUAGGUGUGAGCCACCAUGCCCAACCUUGUGUUGCCUCUUGGUAAGAACUAAUAAGAGGAAAUUAGUAGCUUGUUUACCUGGUUCCAGAUUUGGAGGGUGCUGAGUAUAAUUUUUACUGAGUGGUAUGUGGUUGGAAGGUAGGCCACAUUUAGCCUUGAAUUGUUUAGAAAUCAAGUGUGAUUCAAAAUUUCAAAGGACAUUGCUUUGCUGGGCUAUGAAAUAGGCUACUAACAAGGCUAUUUUUGCAGCAAAAUGGCCAAAAUCUGAAAUAAAUCUAUGUAGUCUGUGAUGCUUGUAGCAUCCUUUGUUAAGUAAAGCACAACACCUAGGACAAGUAACUAAAGUAGUUAUGACUUCCAAAUAGAUCGAUAUGGCCUUGCAUUUUUGCAUUUUGGAGUUAGAGACACUGUGGCUAUAUCUGUAUACCUAUAAUACCUAUAAUAUAGCCUGGGAAGUUCUGUUGCUGCAGAGUUAUCAUUAAAGUCACUUGGAAUUGAAAAAGAUACAGAGUGUUGAGAGAAAGGAACUGGGCUGGUACAGUCAUUGCUGAUAUGUUGGGUCCUCCAUUUUGACUCCAGGCGAAGGCUCCUGGUGAUACAUGAUUCAUUUCAGGUCUUUAUUUUAUUUUGACUUCACUGCUGUGGUUCUAAGCCACACAGGUUUUUCCCUCUGCGGAGAAUACUAUGUAAAAGUCUCAGCGUUAGAAGCUGUAUUCAGUGUCCUGUAUGUCUUAUGAACCUUAUCUGAGCUGAGCUGAGAGCAGAGUGGCUUACUCUAGCAGCUGUGGAUGCAGUCUAGUUGGAGGCAUAGCUUGGAGGACGUCAUGGUUCGUGGGAUGGUUGGAGGGGUGGUAAAAGCAGUUAGCUCUUGUCAGCUGCUUCCUCUGCUAGUGCUUGAGCUGACAAUUUUACCUGUCAGUAUUUCCAUAUCUCCCACUCCUGUUGUGAAAGGUCACAGAGUGAUUGUCACUGACAACAGUUUCUCCCCAUUAGAAGAAAACUGGUUCAGAGGGAAAAGGUGAGGAACAUGGUGAGUUCCAUUGCUCAAAACUAAAUGCAAGUGGCACAGAGAUGCUUUCUCCCAUGCUAACAUCUCCAAAAGAUGAACAUCAAAUGCCUGGAAAUAGCAGCAUCAAAAAGAAAGAAGAUGAGAAGUAUUGUUGAAGAGUAUGGACUACAAGGUUUUUAACAAGCCCAGCAAAACAAACUUACGGCCAAAAGAAGAAAUAUUUCUACAACUGCAAGUAGACAUCAUAAAUGCUUGGUAAAAUUGCCAGAUUUAGGGAAUAAAACAUUAUUCAAAUAUUGAAGAAUGAGGCAUAUCCUGAAGACAUUCAGCAAAGAAGCAAGUUUGGCAAGGUGGAGAAGUGGAAAGCAGCGGGAAGAGAAAGGGAGCUGCCCAGAGCAGGAAUUCUCCAAGUGUGGCCCCUAGGUUGGCACCAUCAGCACCAGACCUACUGAAUCAGAAACUCUCAGGGCAAGGCCCAGCAGUCUUUCAGCAAGCCCUCCGGGGGUUCUGGUGCAUACUCAAGUUUGAGAACCAUAGGCUUUGCCACAGCCAAAAAGAUGUUUUAAUGGGCUGGUCUCUUCCUAAGUGCUGAGGUGCUCUCAUAUUCCCUCCAUAAGUAAAGAGAUGUUUUUUGUAGGCCGGGCGCGGUGGCUCAAGCCUGUAAUCCCAGCACU